UACACUGGUCGCAAGAUGAGCGGCGUCCUGCAUAGCGGCCGCUGCACUGACCGCCCCCCUGUCAGGCGAAAACAAGGACGGGAUGGAGGGAAAAUGGCCUAUUGUGUGUUUAUCACAGGCGCUUGGCGAUAACCCCGUUUAAAAAGUAGUUAUCAUACGUCUUUAUAACGAUGAACUGGUGUUAAGGAGUGUGUGCGGUCCAGACCUUUGGAGAACUCCGACAGAGAGUGAAUGUGAGCGGGAGAAAGUGAAGUUGGUGUUAACGUUAGCUUGUUUUACCUCAGUAGAGCCGUGUCGCCUUGUCUGCUGACCACACUUUCAACCGAGGAAUUGUCCACAGUUUGUCCAGCGGGCAAACAGGACGGCAGAAAGCAGCACAGGCUGAGAAUUAUCGCAGUAAGCCACUGACCAGAGACACAAGCAUCCUGCACAGCAAUCAUUAUGUCCAUCACAGCUGUAUUUUGUUGCCGCUUUCCCAAGUCUUCUUGUUACAACAACAAAAAAGAAGCGAGGAGUUUAACGUUAGCUUAAAAAAAAAGAAAACCUUGACGCGAACGACGCUUUAUUUCCACACUUUUCCUCCUCGGAGUCCCGUAAAGAAAUGGUCCGCGGUAUAUUUUCCCAGGUUUGUUUUGCUGGAUGUAGAGCCCACUGUGCGGGGAAGUGUUCUCUCCAGUGGCUUGCACACCAUCUAGUGAGGAAAUGCGAUGUAAAAUGGGAGCAGACCUAGAAGCAGACAACCCCCAGGCUCUGAUCCUGUUGCCAUGCGGCCGUUUCCCGGGCAACCCGUUCCCAGUGGCUCGUGAUGGAGCAGUAAAACCGGGAUUUGGUUGGCUAUUAUGAUAAUGGAUGACAUCCUGCAGGGAAGUGUGCCAAUCGAUCACAACAAACACCCAAAUACAAAUGCUGAGCAGUUCUUUUAAACGUGCCCCUGCAGCCUGGGUUUACGGGACAUAAGAUCCGUGAGGAAACCAUGUAAGAAGUGAAACAGAGAGCAUUGAAACCUUUCUACAACUUCUUAUCGGCACCCACCCCUGGUCUUGAGGUUGCAGCGCAGUGACUUCCUUUCUGUACUGAUGCCUCUG